rnacentral:rRNA from 1 species
GUUGCAGUUAAAAAGCUCGUAGUUGGAUUUCUGCGGGGGCGGGGCGGCCGGUUGCUUAUAGCAACUCGAGCUAGCACUUCCCCCGCAUCCUGCCGCGAACCGUGCUACCAUUAGUUUGGUGGCGCUGGGGAUCGGCUCGUUUACUUUGAGAAAAAUAGAGUGUUCAAAGCAGGCCACACGCCUUGAAUAAGUUAGCAUGGAAUAAUGAUAAAGGACUUCGGUUCUAUUUUGUUGGUGUUCGGGACUGAAGUAACGAUUGAUAGGGACAGUUGGGGCGGUCAGUAUUCCAAAGCGAGAGGUGAAAUUCUUAGACCUUCGGAAGACUAACAGCUGCGAAAGCGUUCCGCAAGGAUGUUCCCUUUGAUCAAGAACGAAAGUUGGGGGAUCGAAGACGAUCAGAUACCGUCGUAGUCUUAACUAUAAACUAUACCAGCUAGGGAUCGGCCGACGUUUACUUAUAUCGACUCGGUCGGCACCUUAUGAGAAAUCAAAGCAUCUGGGUUCCGGGGGGAGUAU